rnacentral:sRNA from 1 species
ACGUACAUGAAAGUUACACCAUUGGCUGC